AUAAAGACCUUGGGUUGAGGGUCUGAGCAAGGAUAUUCCAUUCCACUCUCUGGAUCUGUGUUGGCUUGUAUUGUUAUCUCAUUCUCACUAAGAGAAUUUGAAAAGUGAAAGUUUUAGGGGAAGGUCUGGUGGGUGGGGCUGGGGAGCAGACAGGGUUUACUGGAGUUGUUAGGAGCACUUAAACAGGAAGGUUUGCCUUAGCUCAGCUGAGGAAAGAACCAACAUGCUUCUUCCUUCCCUGUGGAACACCCAGAACCUCGACCCUGGACACAAGAACCAUUAGGUUGGCAGAUGUAGUACUAACCUUCUUCCUGGCCAUGAACUGACUGAUUUCAUUGACUUAACAAGCUUAGUUUGGUGAAAAUUAAGAAUAAAAAAGAAUGAAAAAGAAGCAGAGCUGUUAUCCUGAGGGGCAGCAAGAGAGAAGACUGGUGUCAGGAACUGGAGUGAAGUCGGCUUCCCCAUAGGUUGAGGGGUAGCUAAGCCAUAGGACACUAGGCCUUCUGGGUCCCUCUGCUCAGCCCUGCAUUCCAGUCCCACUGUUGCUCCAGCUCUCUCUCCAAGUCCCAGCAGAAGCAGUGCCUGAGGUUAAUUGUGGAUUGAGUUUAGUCACAGGACAGUACCAUGCAGGGGUUCAAGAAGAGCCCUUUGACAUUCUGGUUGGAACACUAUGGAUACAACAGAGUUGCUGAUAUCGUCACCUCGCAGUCUGUGUCCUCGCAGAUCAGUGACAGUGG